GAUGAACGCUGGCGGCGUGCCUAAUACAUGCAAGUCGAGCGAACAGAUGAGGAGCUUGCUCCUCUGACGUUAGCGGCGGACGGGUGAGUAACACGUGGAUAACCUACCUAUAAGACUGGGAUAACUUCGGGAAACCGGAGCUAAUACCGGAUAAUAUAUUGAACCGCAUGGUUCAAUAGUGAAAGACGGUUUUGCUGUCACUUAUAGAUGGAUCCGCGCCGCAUUAGCUAGUUGGUAAGGUAACGGCUUACCAAGGCAACGAUGCGUAGCCGACCUGAGAGGGUGAUCGGCCACACUGGAACUGAGACCCGGUCCAGACUCCUACGGGAGGCAGCAGUAGGGAAUCUUCCGCAAUGGGCGAAAGCCUGACGGAGCAACGCCGCGUGAGUGAUGAAGGUCUUCGGAUCGUAAAACUCUGUUAUUAGGGAAGAACAAAUGUGUAAGUAACUAUGCACGUCUUGACGGUACCUAAUCAGAAAGCCACGGCUAACUACGU
rnacentral:rRNA from 1 species